rnacentral:lncRNA from 13 species
GAAACCGUGGUGGGCUUGUUGCCCGGUUUGAUGGUGAAGUCUGAGUAAUCGUAGAAGUAAUCGUAAUCCUGCGAAAGCAACACGACGUCGACGAUGAAUAUCUACAUUGAUCAGUGGCUCGCUUCAAUCUUGCGUCAGAUCCGUCGUGUAUGUGAGAGACCAACACAAUUACAAGCUGAAGAAAAGCUUCGAUUGUUUCUUCAAGUAGUGCAGCAAAAUCAAAAGGUAUAUCAUAG